AUCAAAACAUGGAUGCAAAGAGUUUACUGCUAUGACAACAGAGAAAAAAUAAAUGUUUAUAAAUAUAUGGAUGGAUGGAUGGAUAGUAGGGGUGUAGUGGUACAUAUAUUCAUCCCGAACCAUCACGAUUCGGUUCAUACAGUCAGACGACAAAUACAGUCAGUCAGAGGCUAUCCACUCUCCAGUCCAGAUGGGGGCAAAAUACAAAAAUAAUUGAAAAAUAAUUUUAUAAUUAGAUUUAGAAGUUAAUGCAAAACCUACCUUAUAUGCAAUUCACGUUUUUUUUUUUUUUUGUUAUGUUUUUUUUGUAUUAUUUGAGUGUUGAUAAUUAUAUCCUCAAAUAAAUAGCAACUGAAUUUAAUAGUUUGGGCUCUUUUGUUAAUUGUAAUCUUAUUAAUAUUAUAGUAAUGUGCAAGAAAGGGCUCCCUAUAUAGUUUACAGCAUUAGCUGAGAUAGAUUUUUUUAUCCAUAAAAAAUGCUAAUUAUGAUUUAAUUUAUAUAAAGAGAAAGGCACAAUUUGUUCAAUAAACCACAGUUUAAUAAAAAAGAAAAAAGAAAAAAAAAAGCAAUUUUAUGUUCGGUUUUCUCCCCUCUGCUGUAUCGAACCCAUACCGAACCGUGACUUCAAUACCAAGGAACAUACCGGUAAGUAGGUAGAUAGAUAGAUGGGUAGGUAGAUAGAUGGGUAGGUAGAUGGGUAAGUAGGUAGAUGGGUAGGUAGAUAGAUGGGUAAGUAGGUAGAUGGGUAGGUAGAUAGGUGGGUAAGUAGAUAGAUGGAUAGGUAGAUGGGUAAGUAGGUAGAUGGGUAGGUAGAUAGAUGGGUAAGUAGGUAGAUGGGUAGGUAGAUAGAUGGAUAGGUAGAUGGGUAGGUAGAUAGAUGGGUAAGUAGGUAGAUGGGUAGGUAGAUAGAUGGAUAGGUAGAUGGGUAGGUAGAUAGAUGGGUAAGUAGAUAGAUGGAUAGGUAGAUGGGUAAGUAGGUAGAUGGGUAGGUAGAUAGAUGGGUAGGUAGAUAGAUGGGUAGGUAGAUGGGUAGGUAGAUAGAUGGGUAAGUAGAUAGAUGGAUAGGUAGAUGGGUAAGUAGGUAGAUGGGUAGGUAGAUAGAUGAAUAGGUAGAUAGAUGGAUAGGUAGAUGGGUAAGUAGGUAGAUGGGUAGGUAGAUAGAUGGGUAAGUAGGUAGAUGGGUAGGUAGAUAGAUGGGUAGGUAGAUAGAUGGGUAAGUAGAUAGAUGGAUAGGUAGAUGGGUAAGUAGGUAGAUGGGUAGGUAGAUAGAUGAAUAGGUAGAUAGAUGGAUAGGUAGAUGGGUAAGUAGGUAGAUGGGUAUGUAGAUAGAUGGGUAGGUAGAAAGAUGGGUAGGUAAGCAGAUGUAUAGGUAGGUAGAUAGAUAGAUGGGUAGGUAGAUAGAUGGGUAGGUAGAUGGGUAAGUAGGUAGAUGGGUAGGUAGAUAGAUGGGUAGGUAGAUGGGUAAGUAGGUAGAUGGGUAGGUAGAUAGAUGGGUAAGUAGAUAGAUGGAUAGGUAGAUGGGUAAGUAGGUAGAUGGGUAGGUAGAUAGAUGAAUAGGUAGAUAGAUGGAUAGGUAGAUGGGUAAGUAGGUAGAUGGGUAGGUAGAUAGAUGGGUAAGUAGGUAGAUGGGUAGGUAGAUAGAUGGGUAGGUAGAUAGAUGGGUAAGUAGAUAGAUGGAUAGGUAGAUGGGUAAGUAGGUAGAUGGGUAGGUAGAUAGAUGAAUAGGUAGAUAGAUGGAUAGGUAGAUGGGUAAGUAGGUAGAUGGGUAUGUAGAUAGAUGGGUAGGUAGAAAGAUGGGUAGGUAAGCAGAUGUAUAGGUAGGUAGAUAGAUAGAUGGGUAGGUAGAUAGAUGGGUAGGUAGAUGGGUAAGUAGGUAGAUGGGUAGGUAGAUAGAUGGGUAGGUAGAUGGGUAAGUAGGUAGAUGGGUAGGUAGAUAGAUGGGUAGGUAGAUGGGUAAGUAGGUAGAUGGGUAGGUAGAUAGAUGGGUAGGUAGAUGGGUAAGUAGGUAGAUGGGUAGGUAGAUAGAUGGGUAAGUAGAUAGAUGGAUAGGUAGAUGGGUAAGUAGAUAGAUGACAGACAGACAGACAGACAGACAGAUAGAUAGAUAGAUAGAUAGAUAGAUAGAUAGAUAGA